GAGGGCAGACACUGAUAGAACUCCGGAACGGAAUAGGGCCUCCUAAAGGUGGAAGGAUGGGUUUAAAUAGACCCUGGGAUCCGGCGCCAUAAUGAUCGCGAAUCCCCCAAGGCCAGCCCGCGCCCGACACGUGUCCCACUUCCCCGACAGGCGGCUAAAAGCGACUGACGGAUUGGCAGAGUCAUUAUGGCACCGUGCCUGGGCCAGUGUACCGGCGGAAAUUUCGAAGGGUCCCUUCGUAUC
rnacentral:lncRNA from 1 species